CUCAUUUUUUCUUGAGCCACAAGCAUGUCUGCAAGAAAAAUGUCAUCUUACCUUUCUCUCGUUGAGCAGGCAUUUCAACUCUACUAAGUUAGGAAAAUAAGUGAAAAAGACCAAACAAUUGAUCCAGGGCAGGCAAAGGCUCUUCCAUGCUCACGAACAAGAGAGUGUAAGGUGAAGAUAAGGGUUAUUUGAAAUCAGCAAAGCUUCCAGAAGAGCUUGUGGAAGAUAGACUGAGAGAGAAAGAAAGGAGAAUAAUUUCUGAUCAUUCUUUUUCAUGUCCACAGGCCUCAACAUCCAGGGAGAAACCCAUGACAGCACGGAGGACUCAUGCACGGCCCUGAAGCUUUACAGGAAGUUCCUGGAACUGUUUCAGGAAGGAGAGAAUCAUUACGGGACGAAGGUCUGACACAGUCUGACUUACACUUCAGCUGCCAUCUUGUUUUUAAAAAUGGCUGCCCUCCAGGAAAAGUAACAUACCUGUAUUUAGUCAAAGGAGCUUGCAAAGAAAAGCGUCUGGACUUCUUUAAGUUGCUUGAAGACGUUUCACCUCUCAUCCGAGAAGCUUCUUCAGUUCUAAGGUCAAAUGGUGGAGAGUCCCAGAUAUAAACCUAGUGGGACUAACCCCCCACAGAGGGACAAAAGGACCCCCUGAUGAUCCUCUAAAUGCCUGAGCCAAGGUGUGAAACUGGGUGUGGGUCCCAAUCAGCCAGAGUUUCGGGUGAGUUCAUUGUGAAACCUGGCCCCACCUUAUCAUGCGAAUUCCUGAGAUCAGAUGGCCCAGGAUGUGAGUGGGUGUUGGAUAUUCACAGACGUGGACUACAGCUUUCUUGGCUGCUGCCUCAAAGCACAUUGUGCGCUUUCUAUCUUGCGUGCUGCACAUUAUCGUUUAUUAUUUAGUAAGUACUGAUAUCUACUGCUAGCUAGUUUAUUGUGAUGGUGCUUUUUUUUUUAUUAUGUUGCUCUUUGUUGUUUGCUUUCUCUUCUGUUUUUUUUCUCCAUACAGGUGACCCAGGUGUUUUUUUUUUUGUUUGUUUGGUUUUUUUUUUUCUUUCUUCCCCCCGUCUCUUCUCCCCUUUGGUUUUCUUUCUCUCCCUCUCUUUCUUUCAUUCUUUCUCCCUGUCCUAUCCCCCAGUCAUGUCUGUCCCUUUUGUAGCAACUGAAAAUAAAAUAAAUUCAUAAUUAUAAUAAAGGUCAAUCAAAUGGACCAAUAUGGCAAGGCCAUGAUGAUCCACUUGGUAAAAUAAAUCUGCUUGGCAUCUUUCUUAAGGCCAAUUAAGACAACAAUUCUGAUGGCUAUAGAUCCAAACGGGACAAAAAAUAAAUAAAUAAAUAAAAAAGGAUGUGAGUGGGCGUUAACGCAUCUGGGAAGGGAUCUCAAAACUGGAUUAUACAAGUUGGUGUCGUAAACCCCCGCCUCUGUUCAAAGAUGGUCGCUCACAGUGGACAUAGAUGGCUUCUUUCACUCCUCUUUCAAACCAUCUGUCCUCUCUGUCCAAACUGUGAACAUUGGCAUCCUCGAAAGAGUGUCCUUUAUCCUUAAGAUGCAGAUGGACUGCUGAGUCUUGUCCUGUGGAGGUGGCUCUUCUAUGUUGUGCCAUGCGCUUGUGAAGUGGCUGUUUGGUCUCUCCAAUGAAGAGGUCUCGGCAUUCCUCGUUGCACUGUACAGCAUACACCACAUUGUACACUCAUAUGUUUUGGCGUUUUGUCUUUCGGGUGAACCAGUUUUUGUCUGAGCGUGUUGCUGGGUCUGAAAUGCACCAGGAUGUCAUGCUUGGAGAAAACUCUCCUGAGUUUUUCUGAUACACCGGCUACAACGUCUUUGUGAUGGACCGAGCAGUGAAGGAAACUUAGGCACAGGUUAAAGUCCAAAAAAAGAUUUUUUAUUUAACCCAAAAAACAUAAUUGGUUAACUCAUGCAAAAAGAAUCAAAAUCUUGGGCCCAUAAAAGAGGUCAAACUAACAAAACUCUACUCAAAGUUAACAACACAACUGAUAACUCAAACAAACUGACCUAACUUAAUGAGACAAAGGGGAAACUUAAAUAGUGGCUGAU
ensembl:lncRNA